UGCAUAUCAAUAAGCGGAGGAAAAGAAACCAACAGGGAUUGCCCUAGUAACGGCGAGUGAAGCGGCAACAGCUCAAAUUUGAAAUCUGGCCCUCGGGUCCGAGUUGUAAUUUGUAGAGGAUGCUUUUGGUGCGGUGCCUUCCGAGUUCCCUGGAACGGGACGCCAUAGAGGGUGAGAGCCCCGUCUGGUUGGACACCAAUCCUCUGUAAAGCUCCUUCGACGAGUCGAGUAGUUUGGGAAUGCUGCUCUAAAUGGGAGGUAUAUGUCUUCUAAAGCUAAAUAUUGGCCAGAGACCGAUAGCGCACAAGUAGAGUGAUCGAAAGAUGAAAAGCACUUUGAAAAGAGAGUUAAACAGUACGUGAAAUUGUUGAAAGGGAAGCGCUUAUGACCAGACUUGGGCUUGGUAGAUCAACCUGGGUUCUCCCUGGUGCACUCUUCCUCGUCCAGGCCAGCAUCAGUUCGCUGCGGGGGAUAAAGGCUUCGGGAAUGUGGCUCCCUCGGGAGUGUUAUAGCCCGUUGCGUAAUACCCUGCGGUGGACUGAGGUUCGCGUUCUGCAAGGAUGCUGGCGUAAUGGUCAUCAGCGACCCGUCUUGA
rnacentral:rRNA from 1 species